UCCCUGAUAGCUCAGUCGGUAGAGCGACGGACUGUUAAUCCGCAGGUCGCAGGUU
rnacentral:tRNA from 1 species